AAUUUCCCGGCCGCUUAUCGCCCUUAGAGUUUGAUCCUGGCUCCGGAUGAACGCUAGCGACAGGCUUAACACAUGCAAGUCGAGGGGCAGCGGGGAGGAAAGCUUGCUUUCCUCCGCCGGCGACCGGCGCACGGGUGAGUAACACGUAUGCAACCUGCCCUCGGCAGGGGGAUAAUCCGGAGAAAUCCGGUCUAAUACCGCGUGGCACCCCUGAGGGGCAUCCCUUGGGGGUUAAAGGAAGCGAUUCCGGCCGAGGAUGGGCAUGCGUCACAUUAGGCAGUUGGCGGUGUAACGGACCACCAAACCGACGAUGCGUAGGGGUUCUGAGAGGAAGGUCCCCCACACUGGUACUGAGACACGGACCAGACUCCUACGGGAGGCAGCAGUGAGGAAUAUUGGUCAAUGGGCGGAAGCCUGAACCAUCCAAGUCGCGUGAGGGAAGACGGUCCUAUGGAUUGUAAACCUCUUUUGCCAGGGAGCAAUGCCGUCCACGUGUGGACGGAGGGAGAGUACCUGGAGAAAAAGCAUCGGCUAACUCCGUGCCAGCAGCCGCGGUAAUACGGAGGAUGCGAGCGUUAUCCGGAUUUAUUGGGUUUACAGGGUGCGUAGGCGGGACGUUAAGUCAGCGGUAAAAUUGCGGGGCUCAACCCCGUACCGCCGUGGAAACUGGCGUCCCUACAGUGGGCGAGAAGUAUGCCGAAUGCGUGGUGUAGCGGUGAAAUGCAUAGAUAUCACGCAGAACCCCGAUUGCGAAGGCAGCAUACCGGCGCCCAACUGACGCUGAAGCACGAAAGCGUGGGGAUCGAACAGGAUUAGAUACCCUGGUAGUCCACGCAGUAAACGAUGAAUGCUAAUUGUCCGGAGGAAUUGGCCUCUGGGUGAUACAGCGAAAGCGUUAAGCAUUCCACCUGGGGAGUACGCCGGCAACGGUGAAACUCAAAGGAAUUGACGGGGGCCCGCACAAGCGGAGGAACAUGUGGUUCAAUUCGAUGAUACGCGAGGAACCUUACCCGGGCUCAAACGACUUUGGAAUUCCGGUGAAAGCCGGAAGCCCUUCGGGGCCGGAGUCGAGGUGCUGCAUGGUUGUCGUCAGCUCGUGCCGUGAGGUGUCGGCUUAAGUGCCAUAACGAGCGCAACCCCCAUCGACAGUUGCUAACGGUUCAAGCCGAGGACUCUGUCGAGACUGCCGGCGCAAGCUGUGAGGAAGGCGGGGAUGACGUCAAAUCAGCACGGCCCUUACGUCCGGGGCGACACACGUGUUACAAUGGCAGGUACAGCGGGAAGCCACCUGGCGACAGGGAGCGGAACCCGAAAGCCUGUCUCAGUUCGGAUUGGAGUCUGCAACCCGACUCCAUGAAGCUGGAUUCGCUAGUAAUCGCGCAUCAGCCACGGCGCGGUGAAUACGUUCNCCGGGCAUAGUACACACGGCCCGUCAAGGGCGAAUUCGUUUAAACAUCAACGANUGGGCCCUUUAUGAGGUAUUUGACUGCAUC
rnacentral:rRNA from 1 species